rnacentral:rRNA from 1 species
CCUACGGGACGCAGCAGUGAGGAAUAUUGGUCAAUGGACGCAAGUCUGAACCAGCCAUGCCGCGUGCAGGAAGACGGCUCUAUGAGUUGUAAACUGCUUUUGUACGAGGGUAAACGCAGAUACGCGUAUCUGUCUGAAAGUAUCGUACGAAUAAGGAUCGGCUAACUCCGUGCCAGCAGCCGCGGUAAUACGGAGGAGUAAAGCGUUAUCCGGAUUUAUUGGGUUGAAAGGGUGCGUAGGCGGUCGGAUAAGUUAGAGGUGAAAUCCCGAGGCUCAACUUCGGAAUUGCCUCUGAUACUGGUCGGCUCGAUCGUAGUUGCGGUAAGCGGACUGUCUCGUGUAGCGG